GCACUCUGCGCGCCCGCUCCUUUGCUGCUGUUUGUCUACUUCCGCCUGAUUCCACGCCGCCGCCGCCAUCAUGAGGGAAAUCGUGCACCUGCAGGCCGGGCAGUGCGGCAACCAAAUCGGCGCCAAGUUUUGGGAGGUGAUCAGCGAUGAGCACGGCAUCGACCCCACGGGCACCUACCACGGGGACAGCGAUCUGCAGCUGGAGCGCAUCAACGUGUACUACAACGAGGCCACCGGCGGCAAGUACGUGCCCCGCGCCGUGCUCGUGGAUCUGGAGCCCGGCACCAUGGACUCCGUGCGCUCGGGGCCCUUCGGGCAGAUCUUCCGGCCGGACAACUUCGUUUUCGGUGAGCCGCGGCUGGGGGCUGGGCGGCGGCUCAAAGGUCAAGGGGCUGCUCCAAGGGCACCGCCGUGGGAACUGCGCAGCCGGGGCCCCUGGACACUCUCCUCUCCUCUGAGCCACUCAAUUCCCUCUUCUAAAUCGGCUUUGGGAGCAAGGUCCAGCUGUCUGCCGAGGCGAGGAGCCGCCACACGCGUAAUCUCCCUGCAGGGAGCUGAGCUGGGGCAGUGGCUGCUCCUCUGUCCUUGGGAAUUGGCAGUGCCCCCCCCCCGGGGAGGGGUUUGUUGUUAAGCUGUCAGGUUUGGCCCCUGACUUAAUUCGUAGCAGAGCCGGCUUCCGUCUUUUGGCUUUAAGGGUGCGUUUGCUCUAUCUGCAGGGUGAAUUUUGUGGUCAGCUCACACCAUGUCACUCGGUUCUUUUUGCAUGGUGGUGACCAGUAGUGCCGUCUAUCUGGCUGACAAAUGAUUAGCUGUGUUCUCUCACAGGUCAGAGUGGUGCUGGGAACAACUGGGCCAAGGGGCACUACACAGAAGGCGCGGAGCUGGUGGACUCGGUGCUGGAUGUUGUGAGGAAGGAGGCUGAGAGCUGUGACUGCCUGCAGGGUUUCCAGCUGACCCACUCCCUGGGUGGGGGGACUGGGUCUGGGAUGGGUACCCUCCUCAUCAGCAAGAUCCGGGAGGAGUACCCAGACAGGAUCAUGAACACGUUCAGUGUGGUGCCUUCGCCCAAGGUGUCAGACACAGUGGUGGAGCCCUACAACGCCACCCUCUCAGUCCAUCAGCUCGUAGAAAACACAGAUGAGACCUACUGCAUUGAUAAUGAAGCUCUCUACGACAUUUGCUUCAGAACCCUAAAGCUGACCACACCCACCUAUGGUGACCUGAACCACCUGGUGUCUGCUACCAUGAGUGGGGUCACCACCUGCCUGCGCUUCCCAGGCCAGCUCAAUGCUGACCUGCGGAAGCUGGCUGUGAACAUGGUCCCAUUCCCCCGCCUGCACUUCUUCAUGCCCGGCUUUGCCCCACUGACCAGCCGGGGCAGCCAGCAGUACCGGGCGCUGACCGUACCUGAGCUCACCCAGCAGAUGUUUGAUGCUAAAAACAUGAUGGCGGCCUGCGACCCCCGCCAUGGCCGCUACCUGACGGUUGCCGCCGUGUUCAGGGGCCGCAUGUCCAUGAAGGAGGUGGAUGAGCAAAUGCUUAAUGUCCAAAACAAAAACAGCAGCUAUUUUGUUGAGUGGAUCCCCAACAAUGUGAAAACAGCUGUCUGUGACAUCCCGCCUCGGGGGCUAAAAAUGUCUGCCACCUUCAUCGGCAACAGCACGGCCAUCCAGGAGCUGUUCAAGCGCAUCUCCGAGCAGUUCACGGCCAUGUUCCGGCGCAAGGCCUUCCUGCACUGGUAUACGGGCGAGGGCAUGGACGAGAUGGAGUUCACUGAAGCCGAGAGCAACAUGAAUGACCUGGUGUCCGAGUACCAGCAGUACCAGGAUGCCACAGCCGAGGAGGAGGGCGAGUUCGAGGAGGAGGCUGAGGAGGAGGUGGCCUAGAGCCUUCAGUCACUGGGGAAAGCAGGGAAGCAGUGUGAACUCUUUAUUCACUCCCAGCCUGUCCCGUGGCCUGUCCCGCUGUGUGCACUUGCUGUUUUCCCUGUCCACAUCCAUGCUGUACAGACACCACCAUUAAAGCAUUUUCAUAGU
rnacentral:sRNA from 1 species